CUUCACCGUUUAUGCCACGUAUUCAUUCAUCGAGCCCCACAGCCAAGCACCUCCCCCUCCCCCUACUCUCUCUUUGCUCAUCAGCACAGACAAGAGGGCACAUAUUUGCAUACCCACAUACGGUUCACGAGCCCGAAACCCGCGCUUAUUGCGUCACGUCUCUCUCUCUUCCCCCCACCCCCGCCUCAACUCAAUAUUGUGGUCCCUCUGCGCUUGUGACCAGCUGCCAGAAGCAUCCACGGAAGCAUCAUGAGCGCCACGCUUCCUUUGUCCUCAGAAGUUGCCGAGACGAGUGAGCCGCCAACCAGGAAGAGCAACACCUCCCUGGCCCUCUCAUCCCAAGCGCGAGAUAUACUUGGCGACUUCGAGGACAAAUUCAUUGAGGUAGGCACCUGCGCCAGCACCGGCAAGCGUGUCACCAUUUGCUACAACACCUUCGGUGACCCCUCGAACCCGUGCCUGCUGCUCGUGCAGGGUCUCGGCAGCUCCCUCCUGGGCUACUCCCUGCGCUUCGUGCAGCUCUUUGUUGAUCAGGGCUACUAUGUCAUUCGCUACGACAACCGCGACACAGGUCUUUCCACACAAUUCGACGAUUUCGACCCACCGGCACUCAUCCGGCUCACUCUGCCGCAGUGGAUGUCCAUCCGUGAACGUCAGCCGUACGUCCUAAAGGACAUUAUGGAAGACGGAAUCGGGCUGCUGACAGCGCUCAACAUCCGCCAGGCCCACGUUUUCGGGAUGAGCAUGGGCGGCAUGAUUGUGCAGCUCAUGGCGAUCCACUACCCGGAGCGUGUGCUGAGCCUGAACAUUCUCUUCUCCCACGCCGGCGGCGCGGACGUUGUGAACCCGAGCUUGCUGCACUAUGCCCGCUUUCUCGUGAAGCCGCGCAGCAACAGCGCCGAGGAUCGUGCCGCGCACAUGGCAUGGUUUAUUAAUUACCUGAGCCAGGGCGCGUACAAGAACAACCUGGAGAACGUGAAAAAGUACAUCUUAAGCACGUACGAGCGCAACGGCGUGGGAGACGACCGCGGAAUGCAGCGGCAGGCGGCUGCAGUAAUGCGUGCACCGAGUCGCGCCAAGGGCCUGCGCAAGGUGUCCUGCCCAACGUUGAUCCUUCACGGUACCAAGGACCCGCUGAUACCGGUGGCAAACGGCUACCGGCUUGCCGACCUGGUGCCGAACGCGAAGCUGGUGAUCUUUCCUCGGCUUGGCCACGACUUGCCGGUGGAGCUGAUGAAGCCCAUCGCAGAUGAAGUCCUGUUGAACAUGAGCCUCGUGAAGCCGUCCUGAGUAACGCAGGUGGAGGAACUGCGUUUUCUCCUUUUUACCUUUGUGUCGAUGUGCCGGUGAUUUUCCCAGCGUCUCUCUGGCCUCUCUUCUUCGCUCGCUUCAUUUUUUUUUUUCCUUUGCCACUCUUAUUUGGUGUUUUCGUCGUCGUUCUCAGACCCUCUCGCUGUGUUUGACAGCUACAGCACCUUCUUUCCCGUCUGUGAAAGCGUGUGUGUCUGCUGGUGUGCUGGACUGCGAGUACUUCAAUGGAUGUUCGCAGUCACGGGCGCUGAGUGAUGGAAAGGCACGCAUGAGCAUCACUACGCAAUGCCCAGGCAUACACGAACGUUACUUUACUGUUCUUCCCUCAUGAGCACGUGUACUUCCGUUCUCGCGUUCAUUCCGAUUUCCUUUUGUUUGUUCUUCUUUCGCUUUCUCGAGCCACCAAUAUUAUCUGAUGCCUUUUUCCUCCUUGUUUUAAUUUUCAGUUUCCGACGAUGGGUGAACGCCUCUGCGUGCUGGCGUGUGCGUGUGCGCCGGCACGAGUUUGGAGCAGCAGUGGAAGGGCAGCCUUGCACGAUGUGCCUUCUAUGCAGCCGUCCGCCGUCCGUCAGUCACACCUCUCGCUCAGUCGCAUUCGUUGGCCCAACCCUGGAAAAGGGCGAACGAGGCGGCAAGACAAGAAAGGUACAGAGAGGGGGCAGCGCAUGUGGUGAGAAAACCCAGAUCGACCCCCCUGUGCAAUGCCAUGUGGCCGCAGAUGGCCUCAGCUUCCCCGCCCUUUCCUCGCGAUACCGCCGUUGCAGUGGGCAUGCAACUCACAACACCAUCGCACGGCGACGAGAACGUUUUUUCUCAUUUUUUUUUUCAUUUUAACGCGUUCGUUCUCUGCCGCACAGCAUGAGCUGAAUGCCACUCUACACCCCAGGCCCGUCACAGGCCACCCAUCACGUGGCGUGAAGCAGCGGUAGACGCGCGUUACAGCGAUGCGCCGACUCGUCCAUCUGAGCACGGCUCCUGUCCCCCCACCCACCCCACCCCCGCUCCGCAGGCAGCCUCACAGCCGCUCCCGUUGCGCCGAGCGACACACGCUCGAGCCACGCUGACACUCUGCCGAGCAUACCCAUGGUGCAAACAUCUCCACUGUUGCCGGUGGCUCUCACGCAGCGCCAUCCAGGACCUGACCGCCGGCAUCCGUAGCGAUGCAUCACACUGGCCUCCCCGUGUCGCAGGCGCUGGACCCUGUCGGGGCCAGGUGCGGUGGCUCGGCAUUGGCAGGGAUAGGGGGACGGCGGCGGCUCGGCUUCUCCACAGAGAGUGCGGGGUGCACAGGGCCCUGACACAUACCACGCCGGGGUGUUCCCCGCGUCAUUAGGGGGCGCCUUUCCUGCGAUGGCAGCUAUGAAAACAAAGAGCAGCUUCCGGCCACGGCAAGUGCCACAUCUCUUCGUGUCCCUCUCUCCCACUCCCAAAGACACCAUGGUUACUUCUUUCCCUCCCCUCCCCUCCGCAUCGGCCCGCUUCUAUGUGAGUGCGUGCGCGCGUGUGUGCUUGAUGCGUGCGCUCCGCCCUCCUCCUCAACUUCAAACAG
rnacentral:misc_RNA from 1 species